rnacentral:rRNA from 1 species
GACGAACGCUGGCGGCGUGCUUAACACAUGCAAGUCGAACGGAAAGGCCCUGCUUUUGUGGGGUGCUCGAGUGGCGAACGGGUGAGUAACACGUGAGUAACCUGCCCUUGACUUUGGGAUAACUUCAGGAAACUGGGGCUAAUACCGGAUAGGAGCUCCUGCUGCAUGGUGGGGGUUGGAAAGUUUCGGCGGUUGGGGAUGGACUCGCGGCUUAUCAGCUUGUUGGUGGGGUAGUGGCUUACCAAGGCUUUGACGGGUAGCCGGCCUGAGAGGGUGACCGGCCACAUUGGGACUGAGAGACGGCCCAGACUCCUACGGGAGGCAGCAGUGGGGAAUAUUGCACAAUGGGAGGAAGCCUGAUGCAGCAACGCCGCGUGCGGGAUGACGGCCUUCGGGUUGUAAAACGCUUUCGCCUGUGACGAAGCGUGAGUGACGGUAAUGGGUAAAGAAGCACCGGCUAACUACGUG